UGGUCUGUUCAUUCUCUCUUUUUGGCC
rnacentral:miRNA from 1 species